rnacentral:rRNA from 1 species
AACCUGCCCAAGAGAUCGGGAUAACACCUGGAAACAGAUGCUAAUACCGGAUAACAACAGAUGAUGCCUAUCAACUGUUUAAAAGAUGGUUCUGCUAUCACUCUUUGGAUGGACCUGCGGUGCAUUAGCUAGUUGGUAGGGUAACGGCCUACCAAGGCGAUGAUGCAUAGCCGAGUUGAGAGACUGAUCGGCCACAUUGGGACUGAGACACGGCCCAAACUCCUACGGGAGGCAGCAGUC